rnacentral:rRNA from 1 species
AUUGAACGCUGGCGGCAUGCCUUACACAUGCAAGUCGAACGGUAACAGGUCGUCGGAUGCUGACGAGUGGCGAACGGGUGAGUAAUACAUCGGAACGUGGUCGAUCGUGGGGGAUAAGGCAGCGAAAGCUGUGCUAAUUACGCAUACGAACUACGGAUGAAAGCGGGGGAUCGCAAGACCCUGCGCGGACGGAGCGGCCGAUGGCAGAUUAGGUAGUUGGUGGGAUAAAAGCUUACCAAGCCGACGAUCUGUAGCUGGUCUGAGAGGACGAGCAGCCACACUGGGACUGAGACACGGCCCAGACUCCUACGGGAGGCAGCAGUGGGGAAUUUUGGACAAUGGGCGCAAGCCUGAUCCAGCCAUGCCGCGUGCAGGAUGAAGGCCUUCGGGUUGUAAACUGCUUUUGUACGGAACGAAAAAGUUCUCUCUAAUACAGGGGGCGAAUGACGGUACCGUAAGAAUAAGCACCGGCUAACUACGUGCCAGCCGCCGCGUAAGAC